UACGGCCAUAUCUCGCUGAAAUACUGGUUCCCAUACGAUCACCAAAGUCAAGCAACGUAGAGCCUGGUCAGUACCUAUAUGGUUGAGCACUUAGGAAUACCAAAUUCUGUA